rnacentral:rRNA from 1 species
CCUACGGGAGGCAGCAGUAGGGAAUUUUGCGCAAUGGGCGAAAGCCUGACGCAGCAACGCCGCGUGAUCGAGACGCCCUUCGGGGUGUAAAGAUCUGUCAGUGGGGACGAAACUUGACGGUACCCACAGAGGAAGCACCGGCUAACGCCGUGCCAGCAGCCGCGGGAAUACGGGGGGUGCAAGCGGUGGCCGGAAUCAUUGGGCGUAAAGAGUUCGUAGGCGGCACGGAAAGUCUGGUGGUAAAGGCAGGGGCUCAACUUCUGUACGGCACUUGAUACUUGCGAGCUAGAAUGCGGUAGAGGGUAAGGGAAUUCCUGGUGUAGCGGUGAAAUGCUUAGAUAUCAGGAGGAACAUCGGUGGCGUAAGCGCUUUACUGGGCCGUAAUUGACGCUGAGGAACGAAAGCCAGGGUAGCAAAUGGGAUUAGAUACCCGUGUAGUC